GGGACCUCAGAAAAGGCUUUUAUCGGGUGCUCUGGAAUACUCUGCAAGCAGAAGAUGCAGUCCUGGUCUCUGGAGAGCCUGUCCAAGGGAAAGGUAGCUGCAGCUGAAGUCCUCAGGAGCCCUGUGUGUGGCAGGACAAACUAAUCUCUCCAAAUGAGAAAGGUGAGUUUUUGCCAGUUCUCCCCUGACAGCAGAAGGUGGCA
rnacentral:lncRNA from 12 species